rnacentral:rRNA from 1 species
UGGGGAAUCUUGCACAAUGGGCGAAAGCCUGAUGCAGCGACGCCGCGUGCGGGAUGAAGGCCUUCGGGUUGUAAACCGCUUUCAGCAGGGACGAGGCCGCAAGGUGACGGUACCUGCAGAAGAAGCCCCGGCUAACUACGUGCCAGCAGCCGCGGUAAUACGUAGGGGGCAAGCGUUAUCCGGAUUCAUUGGGCGUAAAGAGCUCGUAGGCGGCCCGUUAGGUCAGGGGGCAAAUUCGGGGGCUCAACCCCCGCGCGCUCCUGAUACCGGCGGGCUUGAGUUUGGUAGGGGAAGGUGGAACUCCCAGUGUAGCGGUGGAAUGCGCAGAUAUUGGGAAGAACACCGGUGGCGAAGGCGGCCUUCUGGGCCAUAACUGACGCUGAGGAGCGAAAGCUAGGGGAGCGAACA